GGCUGUUAGAUAUGAUCAAACCUAACCCAUGGAAUCAAGCAGAUGAUUCAUCCACUAACCACAAGAAAAUAAUAUUUUUAAAGACCAUUUCUCGACACACUUCUCCCGCCAAGUAAACAAAGUUUGGCUUCACUCGCUCACAUUAUUGUUUUCACUGUUUUUUGAUAAUUUCCAAAGAGUCUUUCCAGGAACAAUAUCACAUUUUUGUGUUUUCAUGUUUUUUCUGUGUUUUUGUGAAGACAGUGAAAACUAAAAGCUGAAAGGUCUGUUGAUUACUGAGCGCCAAGAACAUUGUUUCUCGGAAGAAUUUUUGUGGGAUUGAACAUUUUUAUUGAAUAACGAAGUGCAGCCAUGACAGGAAAUAAGAAGGAGGAUGGGAAAAAGCUUCUAGUUACUUCAUUUUGGGUUUGACCAGAAACAGGAUGAUGUUCAUGAAAAACUUUAGUUUCAUCUCACAGCACCGACUCCAUCGCUCAUCUUUCCCUUUGCAGGUUUGUUUACUUUUCUGCACAUGUAAAGAGCUCUGUGCUCUGAUUGGUCGAUAUCACUGAUGCCAAAGAACUACUUGUCAAAGGCAGAGAGAAAAAUCUAAGCUCGACUUCAGAUCUUGAGGUUGUGAAGCAGGUUUUAGUAUGAUUGUCUUUCACUUUGACAAAGUACAGAAGAUUAAAAACGAUUCAUUUUCGGCAGCGACAUGUACGGACACCCUAAGACUGUUGAGCCCGUCUAUAAUCAAGUAAUCCUGCUGUCUGACGUUGAUGUUAGUUUGGUAUAAAGUCAUAUCGCACUCAUCAGAUCGGCCUAAGUCCAGGAGGAAAAACUGCAGGUAUUUGAAACGUCAGACACCACCAACAGAAAUGCAGAAGCUGCAAACCUGUGAGUCAGCGCAUCCAUCAAAGUGUGUUUUCAACGUUGAGCAGAGUCAUGCAAAGACCAGGAAACUUUGACAGCAGUGUGUGAAGGUACGAGAGAUUCCUUCGAUUCAUCAGCUGGACUAAACUCCAUGAACUAAACAUGUUGUUCAACCAGCAGAUGGUGUCAAGUCCUGUGAUGUUUCUGCACCGGACCAUUUGAUUCUCACUAUUUAUGAUCAAAACUACACCUGAGCCAAGGAGCUGCGACUGAAUAACCUCUCCAAUUAGUCCAGGUGUAAAACAGACCCUCACAUUUUCUGUCUUUCAGUCCCCACAACACCAUCUUUAUGGGGCCCCCCUGUACCCCCUAACUUUUGACCCUCAUGACGCCCCUGCAGAUAAGAGUAGUGGGCGUGGUAUUAGGCUGAUUGCAUACAGGUGUAAAGACGCGGGAAAAUGGGGACCACGCCCACUCAACCAGGAAAUCAGACAUGGAUAAACUGGUGCAAGACUGUUAAAAACUGGGAACAAAAAGACGUGGAAGAACAAGAAUAGAUCGAGGUUUGUCAGGGUUAAAAAUGGGGCUUGUUGUUUGUUCGUUUUGUGCCGCGAAACUAAAAGGAGGGCGUAAAACACACGUCGCUUCUGCGCCCCUUUUGACCUACAAAAACACAGUUGUCUCCUCCAGCGCGCACACGCAGCGUCACACGCUGAGAGAGAGAGAGAGAGAGAGAGAGAGAGAGAGAGAGAGAGAUGGACUCGGAUGCUCCUUUCACUUUAGGGCUGAAGAGGAGGGACCUGAGCAGAGCCGGUUGAUGUCCGCUGUGACUUUACAGAGAGCGGCAGAGCGCGCGACGCCUCCUCUGCUGUCAGACUCCACGCGCUGUCUCCAAACAUCCGCGGGGGUCUCCUCACCUCUCCUCGGACCCUCGCCGGGCUCUCGGGCUCACUGUCCUCACAGCGUCUUCAGAGGCGCACGGACUUUCCUCCUCCUCGCUGGUCUUUGCGCACGGACGCCUCCUCUCCACGCUGCUCCCACGCUGGGUCCGCUGCGCUCCCGGUGAUCGUUCCCCCUCCUCUGAAGACUCCCCCAGCGCCUCACCCCCGGGCUGCUCUGCACUUCCACUCCUCUAGAGCCUGAUUGAUUUGUUUCACGUUGUAUUCGGACUGUGGAACAAACAAUGUGAUUCUGUCUAAUGAGGAUUUAGUGUCGUGACAUUAUCUGAGGACCCGGCGUCUCCUUAAGGACAUGGUGAGUUCAAUCCGCUUUAUCCUCGCAGAUUAUCAGACAUCUACUGGACGGAUUUCCAGCUCUCUUGGCUCCGGAGUGAGUGUUUGACCUCUGUAGGUCACAAGCAGGAGCAAGUGUCACCCUCCUCAGAUUAAAAUUCGAUGUUAAUCUGAGUUUAUCUUUGCUUGCGGUGGGAAGUUUGUUUGUGGCGCACUCGUGUGUCACCUUGGAGGGAUUUUGGAACCCAGUGUGCCAGAGACUAGAGACUAGACUGUAUUUGGGUUUAGGUUUAGAGGCGCUUGUGGUCUUUCUGUGGAGCUUCUGUCUGAUGUUUGAGUCACUGUCAACCGCCUUUAGAGAGGGAUGUGGUCUGUAGUUUCCUGGUGUGAGUGUUUCGACCUCCACGUGCAGAAACCUUCACUUUCCCCGCUUCACAUCGAUCCACUUGGGUGUGAAUUAUUGCCUCCAUACAUGUGGUUCUGUUCAAAUGUGUAAUCUAUCGAUAACGGGGUCUAUAGAUCCAGUUGAUUGACUGUCAGCUGUCACAUGUUGAGUGUGUGUGUGUGUGUGUGUGUGUGUGUGUGUGUGUGUGUGUGUGUGUGUGUGUGUGAGGUUGUAAAGAAAGGCUGGAUUAUGUAAGUGCAGAUCAGAUCAGCUUUAUUGCAGGAUCAUUGGAGUUGAUCAUGUUUAAUUCCUGAGUUCUCCUGAAGUUAGACUCUGAUUUAAACAUUUUUAAACAAAUUUAAAUGAUUAAAAACUUGUUAAAAUCACAGAAAAAAACACUAAAGUUGUUGUUUUAUCUGUUAAAUCUUGUCCUGGCCUCUCAGGGUUCACACGGACUGAGUUUGUACCUCUUGAUAUUUUAAUUGUUUAUUCUCUUUUAGCUGAAAAUGAAAGUGGGUCGUUACAUUAGAUUCACAUCCUGUCUUUCUCAGGAGUUGUUUCUUGUGGUUGUGUCUGUGGUGAUGUUUGGUGCAGACUCGCCUUUUCUCGGAGCUCGUAUGUUUUGGACACGGUGUACCACAGAGCUCUGAGGGUCUUCAGGCUCUCACUCUUCACUGUUAGCUGUAUGGACACGUUGGUUGGUUCCAGGAGAGGAACUUAGAAGGUGUUUAAGUUUGCUGCUCCUUGAAUCAGUUAAAAGAACUUAAAGUCAAGGAUCUGUUGUUAUUAAAUGCAUGAAUCUGGACACAUCUGGCUGUGAUGUUCUGCCUGAUAUCUAUGAUUGUGAUCCGCUUGUUUGACUUCUUAUUCAGGGUUUUUGUUUUAAUGUUUUAUAAUCAUCUUUUGCUGCUUUUUGUUUGAUCUCAACGUGUUUCACUUGGUAAAACUGGAUAGCAGAUUAAGAGUAGAUAAGAUUAAACCAUUUUCUCUGUUUUUUAAAUAUAAUUUUUUCAUGUAAAAUUUAGUUAAAUCAAAAAGAGACACUUGAGGCUCUCCACUGUAAGAGUUCAACUCCUCCGUUUCACCAUUUAAACCAGUAAAGAUGACUUCAGAUGUUGCAAAAUUACCAGUUUCAUUGUGACAGUAGUCGGGCGGGUAUGAAACUGGAAUACAAAGAUUCUCUUGAAGCUUUUUUAUUGUAAAAAUUCCAUCAAAAUGAUAAUCAAAGACAAAGUUUUAGGACUUCUAAGAUGAGAGUAUCGCUGGCUUUUCUUCAACUUAGUUUUGUUUGUGUUUAUUUCAUAAUUGUGUCAUGAAUAUAUUCACACACCGAGCCCACAUGAGUUUAAUUGAGACUGUCGUCCAGGGUCAGAGUACACUGCACACCUCUUCUUUAUCUUGUAACAGAGGAAAGUUUAAAACAAAAUAAAGGUUAUCUUGUCUUUUUUCAGGCUUUUGAGACGAUCUUUGACUCAUCAUAUACAGACAGACCCGCCAGUUUCUGCUCACCAGGCCACUAAAGCAUCCAACGAGCAACUUUAUGACAUAAAAACCUCAAAAAUUUAGACCUGAAUCAAACUACCAACCAACUACCAACUACCAACUUAUUGACUCUAUAACCGAGGAUCUCCAAGAUGGAUAAGAUAUCUUGCUCUGUUGCUUAAAAAAAUAAAGAAAUCAUUUCUUAUUUCUAUCUUUUACCCACCAGCUCUUGUUUUAGAGUCAUAAAUAUAUUUAAAUCUCUUUAAAUAUUUAGAAAUUGGAUGUUUGAGGUGAGGCGGAUUCUUCUCUGCUGGGUUCAUUCUAUAGAGGAGCCUGAAAUGAGAUGCAAAUUACCAAAACACUUCCUUUUUUUCAUUGAACGACAUCAGGGUUCGUUGUGGAGCCGUGCUGAAGAGCGUCCACUUGACUGUAAUCUCUAAUUUAACUCUGCACGCUCCAAAGGACUUAGUUUAUAAUGCUUAUGUAAUAUUUAUGGGUAAGACGUGCAGGGAAACGGCGUGCCUCGACCAAAGGUGCAGGUUCAAUGUGCUUUCGCAGAGACUGAUAUGAUGAACGGAGGAAGGCAGCUGUAUCACUCACAGUUCACACUCUCUGUGCUCGCCCACAGACAGUCAGAGCUGCAGAUUAAGAGCCGUGUGAGAUGGACUGGAGCGCCGCCAGCCAGAGCUCUUGUAAUUUUACAGUCAAUGCAGAUCACUCCAGGUGUUUAAGUUAUGCAUCAGCGUGGGGGCGACAGGGCUCCUUGAACAGAAAGUUGUGGUCUCUUGUUAAAGUUUUGCUUUCGUGCUUAUGUAAGUCGUGCACACACCGUCGCACAGACGUAUUUAAACAGGAGAGGUACUCUUUAAAUGCACACAGGGUGUCUUCUUUUGGAAACAUAAAUAAGAAAUAGUCCAGGAGCUUCAGCAUCUCUACACUUUAACUUGAAUGGACCUGAACUGUAACAAGAAGAAGAAGCUUUUCUCCAGAUGUCCCUUUGAUUACAUCCACUUUCAUGGCCUUCCUGCAGAGCUCAAGUCCUGCUGUUGAAUUGAUUUAGAGGACUGUGUACAGUGCUAAUGAGUGUCCGUGAGAGGAUGCCAGGUUGUGUGUAUGCAUACAUUUGUGCAGAGGUGUUUGCAUGUAGAGUGAGGCUUUGUUUGCACCGGGCUUUAGGAAAACAAAACAAAACAAACAAGUGGUCUUCCUCAGAGCGUUUUCAGAGAGUGGACUCCUUCUCAGGUUUCCUCGCAGUCAAUCUUCUUGAUCGAAAUGACAAACCAACCUGAAAACAUUUAGAUUAAAUCCCUGCUGCUUCAUAUUCUGCUGGCUUCUCCGUUCAGUGACAGAUUAUAAGAUGAAUAUCAGGCUCUUUCGGGGGGUUCUCUCUGAUCACUUGUGAUAUAAAUCAAGUGUUUUAAACUGGGAGGAGACCCUGGGAAGGAUCCUACACACUCUGGGGACGUCGUACAUCUCGUCAGGCGUGGGAAUGCUCCGGGUUUCCCCGAGGAAAACGAGGGAGGACAAACGAUCCAUCUGCACGUUCUGACCCAGAUCAUGAGGAGUGGAGGAGAUCAGACAGAUGGAUGACUUUCCUCCCGGUACACAUUUAAUCAUCGGAGGAAGAUGCUCAGCAGGAUUUUUUAUAGCUAAUAUUACUGUUGCAGUCCUGAGGGGUUUUCAUGCUGAGUCUGAUCAGGCCCACUCCCACAGACACUCAGGGACCAGAUCUUAGAGAACAACAGUUGGUUAGUGAUUAGUUUGGCAGGGUUCGACAUGAAAUUACUGUUUCUUUUUUCGUCAUUUUUGAGGAUGUUAAACAAUUUUUUAAAUCACAAUUAAUCACAGAAUUUCAGUCCAUAAUCCCAGUUUUGCAUUUUAAUCACAUCUCAAAUUCAUUUUGCAUUUUUGAUUUUUCAGGAUACAUUUCUUCAGUGCAGAUUGAUUCCUACCCUUAUUGUCCAUUUAUCAUGAUCAAGGGGAACUGCUCGAUAUAUCGUGAUACUGCUUUGCGGCCAUAUCUCCCAGCCUCAUCUGAUGCCUGGUUAGUGUGACUCAAUUUGCACAUUUAAGGCGUCCCAAUUUGGUCGUUUUGUUGUUUCGUGCAGCUCUUGUUUGUGUUCUCAAUAACACAAUCUGGGGGAUACCCUCUACACUCGAGCUGCAGGUCUGUGGUGAUCGUCUCGCUCCAAAAUCGAGCUCUGCUGUCUUCUGUCAUGCUGCCAUCAGUCUGAUUUGUCGCACUUGUUUGCUUUAGUCGUAGGUGGUCAUACUUUAGUGAUGAAUCAGUUCUCUUUGACACAGACAGCAUUUUACUUUUCACUUGUCACCUGUGUCGUGUAGAAGUUGUUUUUUAGAGGGAAAUGUGAUAAUCAGAAGUCAAAGGGUCAAGAAAACACACAGUCGGUGAAAAAUGUCACUUUUAUUUCUGAUCUAACUGCAUCAGAAUAAAUGAACCAGUGCUGGCAAACCUGUUUUCAUCCUGCUGUCAAAGUUAGAUAUGAUUUUAACCCACAAAAAACUUUAUAUCUCCUCACUUAGUGCGAAUGAUCAAUCCUAACUAUGAAUCCAGACCUACUUUAGUGAUGCUUUUAGAUGCUCGUUGCAGCAGCGGAACAUUGUUUGUGUUUUACACCUCAGACUGAUUUUACAAACAUGAAUUAAUAAAUCUGAAACCACCUCGCUGGAUCCUGCAGGUGGAUACUCUGAAGGUGUUGGGGUGCAGAGGGAGGGGACAGGAAUCCUGCAGCUUUAAGAGACGGUCAUAUUGGAGGGGUAUGCAUGUCGAGUGUGAAACCAGCCUGCCUGAAGUAGCUCUCAAUUGUCAUUCCAAACACUCGGGCAAAAUUGCUUAAGAGGUUCGAGAAGCUGGGUGGCCCUGGCUGUAAGUAAUGUAUAUCCCUGCAGAGCGUUUUGUGUGCACUGACUCGUGGCUCUUUUAGGAUAAACGAGGCUUACCCUCGUACUUCAUCAGAGUAAAACAGAGUUGAAUAGUUUAAACAUCCUCUUUAACAUCCUCCGCUGUCUCUGUGAUCGAUGCGGCAGUGCAGUCGGUAAGCUAUAUUUAGGGUCGGUGCGUGUGCGGGCGCUGUAUGGAGCAGUCAAUGCAGCUGCAGAGGAAAAAGGAUUUCAGGAUUGAAUAACUGAGUAACACACAGACCGCCGUGACGGUGAUGAAACUGUAGUUACUCUGUGGCCUCAGGCGGGGGCGGGUCCGUCUAAAUAUGGUGUAGAAGUCAAACAUCACUGAAUACAGACAUGUUUUGUUGACCCUCAGUAUAAAAGUGAAGUUUUUUAUCAUCUGAAGAUAAACAUGGAUGUAUUUUUUUGAGGAUUUCCCAUCUUCUUCCUUAAACGCAUGUAUUUCUGACUUGAUAGGAUGUACGAAGAGCUGGACCUGUGCCAUAGUCUGCUGCCAAGAUCAAAAUUCCAUCCCAGCCUCCUUUUCUAAAUUAUGUGCAUAUGCAGAUUUCCUGCAUUAAUGAUGUAGUUUUGGGCAAACACAAUGCUGACCCACACUGUUCUGUGCCAGUGGAGGCGUCAGUGGGAUGUUCAUGUCCUGCAGGGAUGGAGGAACAAUAAGAACAGUGGGUGUAUCUGGUUUUUGACUUGUCUUACAACAGAAGUCGGUGCAUGAAGAAGUUUUUUUGUAAAGAUGAACAUCUUUGUCCUUUUUCGUUUAAAGGUAUCAGCUCCCAAACAAAAACAAACCGUGGAGGUAUCAGUAAGUGUGUCAGUGAUGCACAUCCUCACAAUAAUCAUCUCAAGAAUUAUGGAAUAAUGACGUGUUGGAGUUGUGUUGAUAGUCGACGCUCAGCCGCAGAGCUCAUCAGCUCCUGUCUGCAUAUUGUUGACUUGUUUACAAAGUUUAAAGCAACAGACGGCUGCAUGAUUACGAUGUUAACUGAUACAAAAGGUCAAUAAAAAAACACACAAACAAAAUCCAACUUGUUUUGACAGAGUCGUCGGGUAAAACUCGAUCAGUGUCACGUGAAGCCGCAGAGAUUAGCAAACUUGAAACAUCAACGUUUUGGUGAUUCUGACGAGUUAGGAUGUUUUCAACUCCAUCUACCACAACUGCAAGUUUGAGCUGAGCAAUAAAGUGCGAAUUUAUCAAUCAUGCACAGUGAUCACAUUAUAAAAAUCUCAUUUAAAAAUUGGACAGUCAUUUAAAAUGUGGUUUGAAAUAGUCCGGAUUAUUGCGUACAUCCUGAUCUCCUUCUUGUCCUUCAUGCUGUUGUUUGUGAUCCAGUCUUCAUUUAAAGACCUGAUCGGUCUGACUCCAGUCCUUCAUGAUAGCUGCAGCCCAUUAUUGAAGAACUGAGAGCUAAACGCACAGACGGAUUUAAGAAUGCAGCGUCAGGUUAAUGGAUGUGGUUUGCAUGUUGUUUCAUGGGGCGACCACCUCUCAGAUCCUCUGUGUUUGUGUUUGUGUUUGUGUGUGUGUUUGUGUUUGUGUGUGACACAGCUGCUGAAAGAAGGUAAUUAUCUCGGGUCCUUGAAGCACUCGGCUGCCAGAUCUGCUCCUGAACGCAGCUUCAGCUUAACACACAAACACUGUGAUGUCACGCCGACCUUCUCCUGAUCCGAGGUCAACAGAGGUGAUGGCGUGGGACUCACAGCGUUUAUUUUUGUGGAGGAAGGUUGACUUCUGAUGUUCGAUUUUUGGCUAAACGCGGUGAGAGUUGAGGAAAGUGGACUCUGGCAGAUUGUGCAAAUAUAAGUUUGAGGGUUGAUCGGUUCAUAUCUUAAGCUCUUAGUUGGAAGGUGAAGGUGGUGGGGCUGAAAGUUUGGGUGCAGGACAGUGGAGAGGGAGGGAAACUCAGAGACGUGUGAUUGCAGUUGGUUAAAAUUUAAAUAAGCUGCAAAAUCUCAAAGAUGAGAAAAUGUGAAAACGCCUUGACAUGAGUUUUAGGGUUCCAGCCACAGUACUACCCAUCAAACAUCUUUUUAACUUUGAAUAAUUUCUUUAGCAAAGAGACUAAACACAACUCACCUCCUCCAGCAGCC